rnacentral:rRNA from 1 species
UACGGGGGGGGCAAGCGUUGUUCGGAAUUACUGGGCGUAAAGGGCUCGUAGGCGGCCAAUUAAGUCAGACGUGAAAUCCCCAGGCUCAACCUGGGAACUGCGUCUGAUACUGGAUGGCUUGAAUUCGGGAGAGGGAUGCAGAAUUCCAGGUGUAGCGGUGAAAUGCGUAGAUAUCUGGAGGAAUACCGGUGGCGAAGGCGGCAUCCUGGACCGACAUUGACGCUGAGGAGCGAAAGCUAGGGGAGCAAACGGG